CGUGGAGAGAAGCGGAGCAGCAGGUACGGUGGUGGCGCGACCAAGUGAAGGCUGUGCUGCUGCCGUGCGCUGCGCGAUCUGGCAGAGGGCACAGCUGCUGGCAGGGGGGCGCGGCGCAUUAAAAUAUUGAAAUAAAUUUUCAGGCUGUCAGUUUAUUAAAUUUAAUUGGAAAAUCUUUGAAAAUAAAAAUUCGGGUUGUUUCA
rnacentral:lncRNA from 1 species